CAGUUGCCACUUCCACAUA
rnacentral:misc_RNA from 1 species